rnacentral:tRNA from 1 species
GGCUCAUUAGCUCAGUUGGUUAGAGCGUUGUGCAGGUUCGAUUCUUGCUUGGGCCA